UACGGGGGGGGCAAGCGUUGUUCGGAAUUAUUGGGCGUAAAGGGCGCGUAGGUGGCCAUGUAAGUCAGAUGUGAAAUCCCUGGGCUCAACCCAGGAAGUGCAUCUGAUACUGCGUGGCUUGAGUUCCGGAGAGGAUGGUGGAAUUCCCAGUGUAGAGGUGAAAUUCGUAGAUAUUGGGAGGAACACCGGUGGCGAAGGCGACCAUCUGGACGAGAACUGACACUGAGGCGCGAAAGCGUGGGGAGCAAACAGG
rnacentral:rRNA from 1 species